CUCCUCUUUUCUUCUUCUUCCUCUCCUCUUUUUUAAGCCCCGAUCUAUUUCUUACCAUGUUCUCGAUAAUGGGUGGGUGGCAAUUUUGAACUUCACUGCGAUAGGGAAGAUGGGGAGGCUUCUGUGACCUUGACAGGAGAGUGGGGCUUGGUUUGCAGUGGUGAUCGGGACUUAGCCAAAUCAAACCACAUUGCCUAUGCCUCUUACAUGAAGGGAAGGAAAAAUGAAGGGGCCUGAUCUCAACCUUUUCAAAGCUAAAUUGGAGGUUAAGGGGAGGGUGUUUUAUUUAUAGCCUCUAUGGCAUGAGGAAAGAAAGAAACUACGUGGGCAUUUCGGCUUGAUUUAAUCCUCAUUGUCCUACUAUUUUAAUUUAGUUGUUUUCAUUAUAGGAUACCAUAGCUGAGAUUAGAUAUCAACAAGUUGCAUCCAGGGGCGAACCCACAGUGGGUCCUGGUGGGUCGCGUGACCCACCAAGUUUGAUUUUUUUCAAUAUGAAUAUAUCAGAUUAUAGUCCUAUUACAGCUGCAAAUUUGAAAAGGAAAUCCCACCAACCGUCCCAUAAUGUCUGCCUCACUUGAACCCUUCCUUAAUUUCCUUCUUGCCUUGAGUGUUGCCGGCAAUUGGAGCCACUAUCAGACUCAAAGUCAUCUGUCAUCCACCAUCCGGUUGUGCGGCCGAUUCAGUCGAAUGAUGCUGCUGCCGUUUCAACCAUGCGUGGCCUACCUCCCAUCUUUGAUAGUUGCCACUGCCAUUUGCCACCAUAGCCGUCCGCUUCCCAAAAACCCAACUUUAGUACAAAUUCUACACACGUUGGUCUUUAAAUUAUUUUAUGUUUUGAACUUUGAUUUUACUUACAUCUCUUGAUCUCUAGUUGAAAGCACAUUUGGAAAAAUGGCAACUUCUUUUAGAGGAUGGGGUUCAUAAUAGUAGCCCUUUUUU